GAGAAGAACGUAGCGAAAUGCGAUAAGUAAUGUGAAUUGCAGAAUUCAGUGAAUCAUCGAAUCUUUGAACGCACCUUGCACUCCUUGGUAUUCCGAGGAGUACGCCUGUUCGAGUGUUAUGAAGCUCUCAAAACGCAAUUGGCUUAAAACCUGAUUGUUGUUUUGGAUUUGAACUUUGCCGUGUUAUAACGGCUGGUUUUAAAAGUAUUAGCUGGUACUAGAACGAAUUGGUUCUACUCAACGUGAUAAUUAUCUGAUCGUUGAGGACAUUCCUUUCACGAGGAAUGGCCAUAGUAAAUUCAAUGGACUGCUUCUAAUCUGGCUUUAAUUCUUUAUUGGAUUAACCACUUUUCAAAUCUGACCUCGAAUCAGGUGGGACUACCCGCUGAACUUAAGCAUAUCAAUAAGCGGAGGA
rnacentral:misc_RNA from 1 species